rnacentral:rRNA from 1 species
UACAGAGGUCUCAAGCGUUGUUCGGAUUCAUUGGGCGUAAAGGGUGCGUAGGCGGCGUGGUAAGUCGGGGUGUGAAAUCUUGGAGCUUAACUCCGAAACUGCAUUCGAUACUGCCGUGCUUGAGGACUGGAGAGGAGACUGGAAUUUACGGUGUAGCGGUGAAAUGCGUAGAUAUCGUAAGGAAGACCAGUGGCGAAGGCGGGUCUCUGGACAGUUCCUGACGCUGAAGCACGAAGGCCAGGGGAGCAAACGGG